CUGCAUGAUCAUCACUAGCGGUGAUGGAAACUUCAGUCUUUAGAUGCCAUCACUGCUUACGACAUACAUUCGUUUUGGGAAGCAAAAGAAAUGAGAAAGAACGAAUCAUUUUCCGAGACAUUGCUUUUGGCUGUCAAGAGAAUAGUGUCAUAUCAUACCACUUCAAAAAAAAUUAUUGGAAUCCGAUAAGAGGGUGAUGUGGCUCAAGAGAAAUACGACUAGCUACGUAAUUUUGGAUAUUUAAGUCGGAAAUCAAAUUCCAUAAUACGUAUGAAAAAUCAGUUAAAGAGAUGCUCGCCCCUCGACUAAAUUAAUGGCUGAAUGAUCAUUUUAUUUCAAUGAUUUCAUUGUUGGGCCCAAAAAUGGCCCAGUACCUGGCCUUGGAUGGAGUUGAAGCAGUAUUAAAGCCUGGGAAUGGAACUCCAAUUAAAGCCUGAAAUAUGAUGAUUUUGCAGCCCAUUAAAAGUUUUAAACAGCCAAAGUUUCAACCUAAUACUACUUGUUCACCAAGAUAAAAUAAUUGUGAGUGCAACCGGCCAGGAUUUCAAAAGAAGAAAAUCCACAACACCGCUUAAUAGACGUUAUAAGACAUCAGCCCUUGAGGCGAAUUUAGAUUUUGACCACCCCUUUCCUUUUAAAAUCUGAAACAAAAAAUAAAUACAUAUAUUGAGUCAUUGUUUGGUUGCUUCUGAAAUUCAUGCAUAAAAUUUAUUAUGUACAUAUCAAAAGAAUGUUAUUUAUAUUAUGAAUUGGUAUUAGAGAGCGACUCCUGACUUGAUAUGUGGAUGGAUAUUUGAAGCAUUUCAAUAGACAAAGAACACCCUUUACAAUCUAAAUCUCGUUCAUUCAGCCGCAUUAGUUCACCCUUUACAAUGAAGUAGUUCUACUGAAACCAUUUUUUUUUUUCCAAAGCGAAAUAAAGCUAUGAACAAGAAAACAUCAAGAAUCAAUUCAGUUUUAGUUCUAAGUUUACAGGAUUGCACUAACCUGAUCUGAAUUUGUGUACCAGUCCCAGGAUCUAUAAAAUCCUUAAUUCUUGAAGCCCGGCAGUUUGCUUCAGCAACUAUUUCUUGGCAAUGAGACAAAUCUCGACAGACCAGCCAGGAACUGAACCAAACCCUAGUAGUACCUCUGUAACAUGUGCAACUACUAGUGCAGAAUUUGAUGCAGUUCAUGUAUGUAUACUCCAAAGACAUCAAUAAGAGCUUGUGAACAACUGGUACAGCAAAAGAUUACCAUGAAAUAGCCAUCAGGGAUUUUUCUAAGAAAGAAAUGGAAAAUUGAUAUGGAUCAUUCAUCAAAUGAACAAAAUUGAUAUGGAGCCAAAUCCACAUCAACCCUUGAAACAAAUACAAAAUCCAUAACAAAGUCAAUAGUAAAGUGCAUCUGAAGAAAAGUAAGAUACGGAAUAGGUACGUAACAAGUUAUUAUGCCAUUAAAGAGAGGACAUAACUGAAACGAGGAUAUUGAGAUCAACGUGUUGGAGUACAAGAGACAAUAAAGCAUGAAAUCUGUAGAUUUAUGAACAAUUUGAUGCAUUGCAGCACCAUAAAAAAUUAACUGCAAAACAAGAGAUUUGGCAUAGCACAGGAGGAACUGAGGAUCCAUUCCUCAAAAGCAGCAAAAAUGUAGUUUAUAUUAAGCAUGAGAAAAAAUCUAAUUUUCAACUCAACAGCAAUAUCAGUUUCAAAUGAAGUUACUAAUCACCAGUUUAAUUAAUUCCAUCACAAAAGGUGAAAUAUUCUUUUUUUUUCCAACCCUUGAGUUCCCAUCUAAUGAACUACUAGAAUACUUCAAUUCAUUUUUAUGAAAUAUUUAGAAACAAUAGCUAAAUGAUUGAAAGAAGAAGAAAAUGAGGCCAAAAAAUAGUUAUUUGCCAAAGUUCCAUACUACUGUUUUUGCUGAAGGCAAAUACAUGAUGCAUUAACUGUAUACCAUGAAGCAAGUAGGCGAGUGCAGGACAUUGGACUUAAUGAGCUGUCCAAAUUUGUUUUAAAUGUCCAUUUGUAGACAGUUUGGAAAAGCUGAAUUCUUUUUCCUUAAAUACAUAUGGGAUGCAUGUUUAAGUUUUUCCUUUUAUAGGUCUACCAUUGUGAUAAUAUUUGGUAAUCAUUAUAUGAUUACACAUCUCAAUAUCAAGGCGACACUAUUAUUAAAACUAAGCUGAAAUGAAAAUAUUCAGACAAAUGAGGCAAGAGCAAGAAACCAUCCUUCACAAACACACUCUCGCCGAAUGUACCUCUAGUGCUUCUAGAAUUGUUCAAGCAUAUCCAUAUGUACCUUAUGUAAUAGUCAUUUCAUGCUUUUAUAACUUUUGUAACUUAAGGAGGUGAUUUCAGAAGUAUUCGCCAUCCUUAGUUAUUAAUCAAUAACUUAUCAUAAAGUUUCCAACAAUACGACAAAAUUGAAAUUAAAUACAUUUAAAGUAGCACAAAUUCACCAUCUAAUUAAAGUGAAAAACGUGUACAACAGUUGGAGAAGAAUCUAACUGCAUUAGUACUUAUGUACUAUUAUCUGCAAUUUUGUAAUUAUAUACCAUUUGUAUAAAUAACACAGCAUGCAAAAGAAUCAAACCACUCAUCUGUUCAUCUCUACUGUUUCAAUUAUCAAAAUUUUCCUCUACCUGGAUCAAAAAUCUCCAAUUGACAAGCCAUAUCCCUCAGAAACAUCUUGCUCGUUUGGUCAUUUGAUUGUGCAGAAGCAGAGGUAUGGAAGCUUUACAAGAUUUUAUUUAAUGCUUUUGUCUAUUUACUCCUAAAUUAUUGUCUCUCUCAUUCGUUGCUAAGGGCAUCUCCUAUUGAUUACGAACCAUGCAAUUUAAAGUACUCUAGAAUUUUCAUGAAAAUUUGAUGGAAGGAGAUUAAUUUGGUGGGUAGGUGUUUUUAAUAUUAAAAUAAUUUUUGGGGAAGAAAAAAUUGCUUUAUAUCCUCUAAAAACUCAGAUAAAGACUGUGGGAGUGUUUGGCUUUAACUUCACGAAUAUUUACGUCUACGGCUGCAAUGUAGUUUAAAAUUAAAGUAAACAUUCUUUAUUGUUUUGGCUCUUUGAAUUUUUCUUUAUGGUUAUAUUUUCGUAACGUAUAUGGGUGUGGGUGUUUAUGUUUAUGUCUGUAUCUAGGUUCAGACUAUUGUAACAUAAAUUUUUACUUAAAAUGGAUUCCCAAAUGACCAUAUAUCUUAAUCAGCAACUCAGAUGAUUGAGUUAAUUGAAGUUAAAAUGUAGCAAUUAUUGUUAUCAAUGCAGCAGCUGCCAAACCGUUGGAUAAUUAUACAUGGAUGGUUCAAGAUUUUCUCUUUUUCAGGGUGGGGGUGGACAAACCCUGAACAGAUUUUUUAUCCCCUACCUCUCCCAGGAUUCAAACUGGGGAAGUUAGCCAAAGAAAGCUGCUCGAAAACCACUCAGUCAAGCCCCUAGGGAAAGAGGGAUUAUAGAUUUCAUCUUAAGUUAAAAAAUUUUAGUCACAGCCCCCUAACCAGUGUGUGCGCACGCGCGCGAGCAUGUAUAGAUCAGCGAAGAAAAAUUGCAAAAACAAAAAAAAUAAAUAAAUAAAUCACCCACACAAUUUAACUGCAAUUCAAAUGGAUAUACCUAUAAGAUUAAGAUGUGUAUGCAUGAUAGUCAUCUAGUUGUUUCAACAUAAUGUACAUCUUGGGUAUUAUCAUUCAGUUUUUACUAAAUUAAAGCACCAAUUCUUUGUUGGACUGUUUAUAGUUGAAGCCGCUAUGAUUUUUUGUCUCUAGACAACAUUGAAAAUUAAUAAUCUUGGAACUCUGCUUUUACUGCUUUUACUAAUAAAGCAUCCUGCUGUAGAAAGCACUGGUUUCACUGAAGAGCUAAUAAAGUUUCAAUCUAUUGACUCGUAUAAUUGCACCUUUACUCACUAUUUGAAGUCUGAUUACUCAAUGGUGAUCAUCCUUGAGUUUUACAAAAUAAACUAAUAACAGUUAAUCAACCCAUGCAUUAUUUAGCUAAAUUCCCCCAUUUUGGCGUAGAGGACCUGCAAGUUUAAGAUAGCUAUGGUGAUAGUAAAUUUAAUAGUGAGUUCAACAAAGUAGGGUACAGUUGUGAUAAGGCACUAUGACUGAGUAAGAUCCAAAUGAUAGCCUAGUUUAAAUUAGAAACAACCCGAGAUGGUCGAUUUAUAUCAAAUUAUACUUGAUUACUCAUCCACUAAUUAAAGAUUAGUUUGGUUAGCUAACUGAUGAUUAAAUAGCUUGCAGAGUACAUCAGCUGUGAACUAUUUCUCUACCCAUCAGAUAUUCCAAAUAUUAACAUUUUCCAUUUUGCAGCUUUAAUCUGAGAAGAUUAAUCCUCAAAGAUCAAACAGAAUGGAAAGCGGUGGCAGUGGCGGCAGCAGCAGCAAAAAGAGCAAAAAAGUAGAGCAGCAAAGUAAGAAACGGCAGAAAACUAAUACCAUUGAUUACAUGAAUUACAUACCUGAAGCAAUAGUAUUCCAUAUACUCUCACUAUUGCCGCUGGGAGAGUUGAUUAUAAUGAGUCUUGUAUCACAACGAUGGAAAGACACAGUAGUGAGAUACCUGAAGAUUGUUCCAUCAAGUCUAAAUCUUGACGAAUGUGAGAUGCCAGGAACUAUCCUUAAAAGAGAUGGGCAGUGUUUGCUACGUAGCAAUUCUGCCCAUUCCGGUUACUCUUUACAACAGCGACACUGCUUGAUACGUGCAGCAAGAAAAAGUUUCAUAGAAUUUGUGGACCGAUGCCUCCAGCUCCAUUCCGAUUGCAUGAUCAAUAAUUUGCGGUUGACAUUUCUUCAUGAAGCUGGUGGCGAUUAUGGAUACACUAGGAAGAUUGAUAUGUGGGUUCACUUCGCCUUUACAAAUGACAUCAAAGAGCUUUCGUUGGACUUCUCUAACCUAACACUUUCAAAACCCUUGGCUCAACCAUUUGAACUGCCUCAUGGCUACUUUGCACCCAAGAUAACGAAAACUUUCAGCCUAAAGUUUUGCAAGUUUAGACUAUCUACCUUUCAGGUUUUUGGAUCCCUUAAGGGGAUAUCUUUAGUACAGGUAGAAAUCCUUGGUGGCUCGUUAGCUGAGCUAGCAUCCAAAUGUCCUGUUCUGAAGGAUGUGAACCUGGUAAACUGUGUUUUUCCUGAUCAAUUUAUGAUGAGUGAAGAAGACAUAAUAGUUGAGAAACUAUCAGUGAUUGACUGUAAAACAGAGGAGUGGGAGGCGUGCAAUAUCAAUCUAUCAACUCCAUGCCUACUGAAGCUCCAUAUAGUUGGAAACAUUCUCAUGACAUCCCACAUUCGGAACGCAACAAAACUCCUAGAUGUAACUUUUUGCAUGGAGGAGAUAAAUGAAAACUAUUUACAGGGAGAUGCAUUGGGUUCAUUUUUUAUUGAGUUAGGCCACAGUCGAUCUCUAACAGUAAACAAUUGUUGCAUCCAGGUAUCAAGGUCUUCAUUUAAUUGAUUAUAGCUUAAUUUUAAGUUAAUUUGUGCCCUUAACUUGUGAAGUUUUCUUUUGUGUUCAAGGUUCUACCUGCAGGGAAUGAUUUGCUACAAGGAUUGCCAACUUACCUCAACAAUCUUAACCAUUUAUGUUUGUUAGUGGGCCUAGAAAAACAAGAAAUGCCUGGGAUAUCUUGCCUGUUAAGGAGUUCCCCAAAUUUAGAGAAUCUAACCCUACUAUUGCUGGGAACUGGAUGGGUGGGCAUUACUAAAUUCUGAAAUUGCUUUCAUAGUUUGACAUUGUAGAUGAUACUAAACCAUUUAGCUUCUAUAUAUUGUAACUUUAUUUUACAGGAAAAUUUCCAAAAUGAUGCCCCACCAUUCUUUGACUUAGAAGAACGGAUUUACUGGGAUGAACGGAAUUCAACUUUCAGUUGUGUACAAAAUUCUCUUAAAAAGGUCACAAUGGACGGGUUUUCCGGAAGAAACAAUGAGAUGAAAUUGAUUCAGUUCCUGCUGAAAAAAGCGAGAGUUCUCCGGAAGAUGGAAAUCAUCUUUAUUUCAACAGCUGAAGUCAUGGAAAAAAUCCAAUAUCUGUCGGAGACGUUGUCUUACUUCCCAAGGGCAUCUCCUCUGGCCAGCAUAGAAUUUUGUUGAAGCCCUUCAACAGUUGAACAUGUAAUGUUCUAUAAAAAUUUCCUUUGUCUCGUUAAGACUUUUCCUUCGACUAGGUAAAAUAAGUAUAUGGGUGCCCUCUUGUGGAGAUUUGGAAAUCUUCACAGAUAGCAUCCAUCCAACAUUAUAUUUCAGAUAUUAUUAUGUCAGUAUCAACCAUCAACUUUCCUUCAUUGCAUAAAAAGGAACUUUGUUUCACCUUGCUAUUGUCUAUGACGCCUAUUCUAGUUUAAAUUUGGCAGAGGAUUGCAUGCAGGAAUUCAGAAUUGAAGCUUGAGAUGUGAUAAACUUGCUCAUUGAGAAACAAAGUCAUCAAUCAAGAUCUUCAAUCCUCUUAUAGCUAGUUAACAUGAUUUUUCAUAUGAUUCUCUAAAUAUAAUGCUUUGAAAAAUCCAUAAAAUUAAAAAAUAAGAAACAAGCAAAUACUCCCAGCAUAUCGCACAAAAAAAUCAAAUGAUAUCAUACCUAGUUCAAAUUAAACCACCGUAGAUGCCAUAAUGCCAAAAAAAUUGCGCAAAAACACAGAGACGCAAAGAAAUAGUAGAUAAAAUUAAUUUAGAAUUAAAAAAAAGGUGACAGCAAGAUAUAAUAAAUGUGUGAAAUUGAAUGAAAUUUCUUUUACCUGAGUCUGUGAAGCCAUGAGCUAUUCUCUGAAUGCAUAGAGUAGACGAAAACUCUAACAGAGCGCAAAUUAUGAAAUUUUUUGGCUGAAUAAUAAUUGAAAUAAAAAUUGAUUUGGUGAUAAAAAUAAAAAGCGACCCAAUUUACUAUUAACGAGGCUCAUUUAACACAAGCCCAAUUGCUCAAAAAAAUCAAAUUCCGAAUAGCCCCUUAACAUUCAGCCCAAAUCAAAGAAAUAAAAGGGGACUAAAAUGGCCUCUUU
rnacentral:lncRNA from 1 species